rnacentral:tRNA from 1 species
AGCGGGUUAGUGAAACGGUGUCAUUCGAGGCUCAUUACCUUGAGAAGGUGGUUCGACUCCACCACCCGCCUCC